rnacentral:rRNA from 1 species
UACGGAGGAUGCGAGCGUUAUCCGGAUUUAUUGGGUUUAAAGGGUGCGUAGGCGGGUUAUCAAGUCAGCGGUAAAAUCGUGGAGCUCAACUCCAUCCAGCCGUCGGAACUGGCAGUCUUGAGUGGGCGAGAAGUAUGCGGAAUGCGUGGUGUAGCGGUGAAAUGCAUAGAUAUCACGCAGAACGCCGAUUGCGAAGGCAGCAUACCGGCGCCCAACUGACGCUGAGGCACGAAAGCGUGGGGAUCGAACAGG